UACGCCCGAUCUCGUCCGAUCUCGGAAGCUAAGCAGGGCUGGGCCUGGUUAGUACUUGGAUGGGAGACCGCCUGGGAAUACCAGGUGCUGUAAGCUUGCUUACGGCCAUACCAGCCUG
rnacentral:rRNA from 1 species